rnacentral:rRNA from 1 species
CAGUAGCCACGGUAAUACGAAGGGGGCUAGCGUUGUUCGGAUUUACUGGGCGUAAAGGGUGCGUAGGCGGACUGAUACGUCAGGGGUGAAAUCCCAAGGCUCAACCUUGGAACUACCUUUGAUACUGUUAGUCUUGAGUUCGAGAGAGGUGAGUGGAACUGCGAGUGUAGAGGUGAAAUUCGUAGAUAUUCGCAAGAACACCAGUGGCGAAGGCGGCUCACUGGCUCGAAACUGACGCUGAGACACGAAAGCAUGGGGAGCAAACAGGAUUAGAGACCCGCGUAGUCCCUGUCUCUUAUAC